rnacentral:rRNA from 1 species
CCUACGGGUUGCAGCAGUGGGGAAUAUUGCGCAAUGGGGGAAACCCUGACGCAGCGACGCCACGUGAGGGAUGAAGGCUUUCGGGUCGUAAACCUCUGUCAGGUGGGAAGAAACGUACGGUGUCGAAUAGGCUCCGUAUCUGACGGUACCACCAGAGGAAGCACCGGCUAACUCCGUGCCAGCAGCCGCGGUAAUACGGAGGGUGCGAGCGUUAAUCGGAAUCACUGGGCGUAAAGCGUGCGUAGGCGGCGUACCAAGUCAGGUGUGAAAGCCCUCGGCUCAACCGGGGAAUUGCACUUGAAACUGGUAUGCUAGAGUUCUGGAGGGGGUAGCGGAAUUCCCGGUGUAGGAGUGAAAUCCGUAGAUAUCGGGAGGAACACCAGUGGCGAAGGCGGCUACCUGGACAGUAACUGACGCUGAGGUACGAAAGUGUGGGGAGCAAACAGGAUUAGAUACCCCCGUAGUC